AACCACAGCCAUACCACUCUGCAGCCCAAGACUGGUUACUCAUUGAAGCUAAGCAGGGCUGAGCCUAGUCAGUCCCUAGAUGGGAGACCACAUGGAAAAACUAGGUUGCUGUUGGAA
ensembl:rRNA 5S_rRNA 5S ribosomal RNA